rnacentral:rRNA from 1 species
CCUACGGGAGGCAGCAGUAGGGAAUCUUCCACAAUGGACGCAAGUCUGAUGGAGCAACGCCGCGUGAGUGAAGAAGGUUUUCGGAUCGUAAAGCUCUGUUGUUGGUGAAGAAGGAUAGAGGUAGUAACUGGCCUUUAUUUGACGGUAAUCAACCAGAAAGUCACGGCUAACUACGUGCCAGCAGCCGCGGUAAUA